CUACGGGUUGCUGCAGUGGGGAAUAUUGCACAAUGGAGGAAACUCUGAUGCAGCAACGCCGCGUGGAGGAUGACACAUUUCGGUGCGUAAACUCCUUUUAUGUGAGAAGAUAAUGACGGUAUCACAUGAAUAAGCACCGGCUAACUCCGUGCCAGCAGCCGCGGUAAUACGGAGGGUGCAAGCGUUACUCGGAAUCACUGGGCGUAAAGCGCGCGCAGGCGGCUUAAUAAGUUGGAUGUGAAAUCCUAGGGCUUAACCAUAGAACUGCAUCCAAAACUGUUAAGCUAGAGUAUGGGAGAGGAAGAUGGAAUUAGUUGUGUAGGGGUAAAAUCCGUAGAGAUAACUAGGAAUACCAAAAGCGAAGGCGAUCUUCUGGAACAGUACUGACGCUGAGGCGCGAAAGCGUGGGGAGCAAACAGGAUUAGAUACCCCCGUAGUC
rnacentral:rRNA from 1 species